CUAACUGUGGAGUGUGCAACUGCCUCUGAUCCUCAGUGUUCUCUCUGGUGAUGUCCCGCAGUUCUGCCCUCGGUUUCCUUCCAAUGUGUCCCAGUUCCUCUGUCCCUUGCUAGCUACACAGGCCACCCAGGGUCUGGUGUGGGCCAUGAGUGUAGAAGAUGGGGGUAUGCCAGGCCUUGCCCGUCCAAGACAGGCUCGCUGGACCCUGAUGCUAUUUCUGUCCACGGCCAUGUAUGGUGCCCAUGCACCAUUCUUAGCACUGUGCCACGCGGAUGGCCGAGUGCCCUUCCGGCCCUCUUCAGCUGUGUUACUCACUGAGCUGAUCAAACUACUCUAAUGCACCUCCUCCUUCCUGGUGGGCUGGCAAUCAUAGCCCCAGGGCACACCACCCUGGCGCCAGGCUAUACCUUUUGCACUAUCAGCCAUGCUCUAUGGCGCCAACAACAAUCUGGUGAUCUACCUGCAGCGUUACAAGGACCCAGCACCUGGAAGAACAGCUCUGUUGUACUGCCUCUGCCUUGGGCAUCACCUCUCUGCACGUCAGGGUUUGGCACUGCUGCUGUUGCUGGCUACAUCAGGCGACUUUCAGGAACCUGGGAACACCCUUCCUGCCCCCCACCCCCACCCCAUCCCAUGCCCUUGCAUAUCAAUUCACUGGGACUUGCGCUCCUCAUCUUGUACGGCCUUAUCUCUGGCCUGUCAUCGGUGUACACAGAACUGGUCAUGAAGCGACAGCGUAUUCCUCUACACUUUCGGGGUGAUCCUGAACCUUGGACUCUAUGCGGGCAGUGGCCCGGGCCCAGGCUUCUUAGAGGGUUUCUCUGGAUGGGCGGUGCUUGUGGUGCUGAACCAGGCAGUAAAUGGACUGCUCAUGUCAGCUGUCAUGAAGCAUGGCAGCAGCAGCACGCGCCUCUUCAUCUUGUCCUGCUCCUUGGUGGUCAAUGCCGUGCUCUUGGCUGCGCUGCUGCCGCUCCAGCUCACAGUCAUCUUCUUCCUGGCCACACUGCUCAUCGGCCUGGCUGUGUGCUUGUACUAUGGUAGCCCCUAAGGCCCUGACCGCCCCCACCCUCACUUGUGGCUGUGUAGAUUAGAUGCGACCACCAGAGCCACCUCCCACGUCACCACCACACCACACCCCAGCAGCCCUGUACCAAGUGCCUCGUAAGGAAAGCUAAGGUGGCCAUGUUAGCCUUUGGAAAUUCAGGUGGCAUAAAGAGUGGACUUGGUUAAGGAAACACCUAACUGCACCCCUAUAUUCCUUCAUACUGAAG